GCAGUGGUGGUUCAGUGGUAGAGUGCUCGCCUUCCAUGUGGGAGACCUGGGUUCAAUUCCCAGCCAGUGUG
rnacentral:tRNA from 1 species